rnacentral:rRNA from 1 species
UAGAGUUUGAUCAUGGCUCAGAUUGAACGCUGGCGGCAGGCCUAACACAUGCAAGUCGAACGGUAACAGGAAACAGCUUGCUGUUUCGCUGACGAGUGGCGGACGGGUGAGUAAUGUCUGGGAAACUGCCUGAUGGAGGGGGAUAACUACUGGAAACGGUAGUAAUACCGCAUAACGUCGCAAGACCAAAGAGGGGGACCUUCGGGCCUCUUGCCAUCGGAUGUGCCCAGAUGGGAUUAGCUGUGGUGGGGUAACGGCUCACCAGGCGACGAUCCCUAGCUGGUCUGAGAGGAUGACCAGCCACACUGGAACUGAGACACGGUCCAGACUCCUACGGGAGGCACAGUGGGGAAUAUUGCACAAUGGGCGCAACCUGAUGCAGCCAUGCCGCGUGUAUGAAGAAGGCCUUCGGGUUGUAAAGUACUUUCAGCGGGGAGGAAGGGAGUAAAGUUAAUACCUUUGCUCAUUGACGUUCCCGCAGAAGAAGCACCGGCUAACUCCGUGCCAAGCCGCGGUAAUACGGAGGGUGCAAGCGUUAAUCGGAAUUACUGGGCGUAAAGCGCACCAGGCGGUUUGUUAAGUCAGAUGUGAAAUCCCCGGGCUCAACCUGGGAACUCAUCUGAUACUGGCAAGCUUGAGUCUCGUAGAGGGGGGUAGAAUUCCAGGUGUAGCGGUGAAAUGCGUAGAGAUCUGGAGGAAUACCGGUGGCGAAGGCGGCCCCCUGACGAAGACUGACGCUCAGGUGCGAAAGCGUGGGGAGCAACAGGAUUAGAUACCCUGGUAGUCCACGCCGUAAACAGUCGACUUGGAGGUUGUGCCCUUGAGSCGUGGCUUCCGGAGCUAACGCGUUAAGUCGACCCGCCU